rnacentral:rRNA from 1 species
UGCUGGAGGUAUCAGAAGUGCGAAUGCUGACAUAAGUAACGAUAAUGCGGGUGAAAAACCCGCACGCCGGAAGACCAAGGGUUCCUGUCCAACGUUAAUCGGGGCAGGGUGAGUCGACCCCUAAGGCGAGGCCGAAAGGCGUAGUCGAUGGGAAACAGGUUAAUAUUCCUGUACUUGGUGUUACUGCGAAGGGGGGACGGAGAAGGCUAUGUUAGCCGGGCGACGGUUGUCCCGGUUUAAGCAUGUAGGCGGGAAGUUUAGGUAAAUCCGGACUUCUGUUAACGCUGAGGUGUGAUGACGAGGCACUACGGUGCUGAAGUAACAAAUGCCCUGCUUCCAGGAAAAGCCUCUAAGCAUCAGGUAACAUCAAAUCGUACCCCAAACCGACACAGGUGGUCAGGUAGAGAAUACCAAGGCGCUUGAGAGAACUCGGGUGAAGGAACUAGGCAAAAUGGUGCCGUAACUUCGGGAGAAGGCACGCUGAUAUGUAGGUGAAGUGAUUUACUCAUGGAGCUGAAAUCAGUCGAAGAUACCAGCUGGCUGCAACUGUUUAUUAAAAAC